rnacentral:rRNA from 1 species
UACAGAGGGUGCAAGCGUUAAUCGGAAUUACUGGGCGUAAAGGGUGCGUAGGUGGUUUUUUAAGUCGUUUGUGAAAUACCUGGGCUUAACCUGGGUGCUGCGGACGAUACUGAAAGGCUAGAGUAGAGUAGAGGGAAGUGGAAUUCUCGGUGUAGCGGUGAAAUGCGUAGAUAUCGUGAGGAACACCAGUGGCGAAGGCGGCUUCCUGGACUCAUACUGACACUGAGGCACGAAAGCGUGGGGAUCAAACAGG